rnacentral:rRNA from 1 species
GACGAACGCUGGCGGCGUGCCUAAUACAUGCAAGUCGAGCGGACUUAAAAAGCUUGCUUUUUAAGUUAGCGGCGGACGGGUGAGUAACACGUGGGCAACCUGCCUGUAAGACUGGGAUAACUUCGGGAAACCGGAGCUAAUACCGGAUAAUCCUUUCCUACUCAUGUAGGAAAGCUGAAAGACGGUUUACGCUGUCACUUACAGAUGGGCCCGCGGCGCAUUAGCUAGUUGGUGAGGUAACGGCUCACCAAGGCGACGAUGCGUAGCCGACCUGGGAGGGUGAUCGGCCACACUGGGACUGAGACACGGCCCAGAGUCCUACGGGAGGCAGCAGUAGGGAAUCUUCCGCGAUGGACGAAAGUCUGACGGAGCAACGCCGCGUGAGUGAUGAAGGUUUUCGGAUCGUAAAACUCUGUUGUUAGGGAAGAACAAGUACGAGAGUAACUGCUCGUACCUUGACGGUACCUAACCAGAAAGCCACGGCUAACUACGUGCCACCAGCCGCCGUAA